rnacentral:misc_RNA from 1 species
GAUGAAGAACGUAGCGAAAUGCGAUACGUAAUGUGAAUUGCAGAAUUCAGUGAAUCAUCGAGUCUUUGAACGCACAUUGCGCCCCCUGGUAUUCCGGGGGGCAUGCCUGUCCGAGCGUCAUUGCUGCCCUCAAGCACGGCUUGUGUGUUGGGCCUCCGUCCUCCUCCCGGGGGACGGGCCCGAAAGGCAGCGGCGGCACCGCGUCCGGUCCUCGAGCGUAUGGGGCUUUGUCACCCGCUCUGUAGGCCCGGCCGGCGCUUGCCGAUCAACCAAACUUUUUUCCAGGUUGACCUCGGAUCAGGUAGGGAUACCCGCUGAACUUAAGCAUAUCAAUAAGCGGAGGA